GACGUAGGUCGCAAACGUUAUUCGGAUUCACUGGGCGUAAAGGGUGCGCAGGCGGUUGUGUGUGUCAGAUGUGAAAUCCCGGGGCUUAACUCCGGAACUGCGUCUGAAACUACAUGACUAGAGCAUUGGAGAGGGAAGUGGAAUUCAUGGUGUAGCAGUGAAAUGCGUAGAUAUCAUGAGGAACACCAGAGGCGAAGGCGGCUUCCUGGACAAUUGCUGACGCUCAGGCACGAAAGCGUGGGGAGCAAAAAGG
rnacentral:rRNA from 1 species